rnacentral:rRNA from 1 species
CUACGGGAGGCACCAGUGGGGAAUAUUGCACAAUGGAGGAAACUCUGAUGCAGCAACGCCGCGUGGAGGAUGACACUUUUCGGAGCGUAAACUCCUUUUAUAUAGGAAGAAGAUGGCGGUACUAUAUGAAUAAGCGCCGGCUAACUCCGUGCCAGCAGCCGCGGUAAUACGGAGGGCGCAAGCGUUACUCGGAAUCACUGGGCGUAAAGAGCGUGUAGGCGGAUUAAAAAGUCAGAAGUGAAAUCCUAUAGCUUAACUAUAGAACUGCUUCUGAAACUCUUAAUCUAGAAUAUGGGAGAGGUAGAUGGAAUCUCUGGUGUAGGGGUAAAAUCCGUAGAGAUCAGAAGGAAUACCGAUUGCGAAGGCGAUCUACUAGAACAUUAUUGACGCUGAGACGCGAAAGCGUGGGGAGCAAACAGGAUUAGAUACCCUCGUAGUC